rnacentral:rRNA from 1 species
UACGUAGGGUGCAAGCGUUGUCCGGAAUUAUUGGGCGUAAAGAGCUCGUAGGCGGUUUGUCGCGUCGGCUGUGAAAUCUCGGGGCUUAACUCCGAGCCUGCAGUCGAUACGGGCAGACUUGAGUUCGGUAGGGGAGACUGGAAUUCCUGGUGCAGCGGUGAAAUGCGCAGAUAUCAGGAGGAACACCGGUGGCGAAGGCGGGUCUCUGGGCCGAAACUGACGCUGAGGAGCGAAAGCGUGGGGAGCGAACAGG